AUGCAUUCCAUUCUCAUUGCGCUUACUCGAAUGGGCCAUCCUCAUGCUUCCAUUAAGAAUGUUUUAAAUUUUUUGUGGUGCCUUUGGAAAGCUAGAAAUGAUUUUGUUUUUGAUAGGAAAAAGCAUCUUCCUUAUCAAGUUAAUAUUGCUGCUGCAGCUCUGGACUAUGAGCCACUGGUUGAUCCUUCUUGUCCCCCUACUAAGAAACCUCACUCUAAUGAUGUUCAUGAAACUCAUGUUCUUCCUUUGCAGGGCAAAACGCUUAAGUUUGACUUGUUAAUUCCUGGGACUAAAAUCUUCUCUGAUGCAGCGUUUAGAUCAUCAAAAAUCCCAGGUCUCGCUCAAGGGCAAGUGGGUAUAGGUAUAGGUGUUUUUAUUUGCAAACCUUCGGAUCAGGGCGAGCUUAAUGUUCAGGUUCAGGCUUCGGCCCCUCCUACCUCUACUCCUUUGCAGGCUGAAGCUGUGGCUCUCUCAUGUGCUGCACAUCUAGCUUUGAGACUUAAUCUUGCUAACUCCACUUUCCUUAUGGAUUGUUUGUCUUUAGCCUCUUUUGCUGCCUUAAGAAAUAUUUCAGCCACUCCUUGGAAUAUUAGGAAUGAUCUUGCUCAUUUUUUCAAAGACACCUCUAAUUUGAAAUGCUCAAGUGUUUCACAUUUCUAG
rnacentral:rRNA from 1 species